rnacentral:lncRNA from 1 species
UCCCUAAACUUUUCCCCCUUGUGGUAAAACAGUAAACGCAGCAGUUUGGUGGCAUCCAGUACCGACCUGUUGGCAGAAUAAUAAAACUGGUAGGUGGCAGCAGAAGAAGGAGCUAAUGCAGAUGGCAUCCGUGAACUGAGAGUGCUGCCAUAUGCGGAGAGAUGGAUUCCAAACAUUAGAUGAUGUAACGUGCAAAGAUGAAAGGCAGCUUCCUGGCUUGUCAGUCUGCAUGAGUUUUGAUGCUAGAUCCCCAGCUCUGAAGACUGAAGCGGUCUUGUCCCAGGAAAGGUUCUGUGACGCAUCCAAAGACCUUCCUCCUUGCAUCUUUUGUGUGUUGUGUUCCUUGAACUUUAUUUCUUCAGUUCUGAAGGGAAUGAGUCAGGUUGGCAUAAUAUCCAGAGAAUGAAACGAAACGGCAGCUGUCAUAACAAUGAAUUCAUCACGUAAUGGACAAAGCUCAAUAAAUUUUUUGUUUUAAAAUUUGUUUAUUGUGUU